ACUAACUUUAGUGUUAUUUUUGGAUUCCUCUUUCUUUUUGUGUGUAUCUAUUAUGGAUUUUUGGUUUGUGGUUACCAUGAGGUUUUGAUAUAGGAGUCUAUAUAUAUAUAUAUAUGAUUGUUUUAAGUUGCUGAGCUCUUAUUUUCAAGUGCACUUUAUUUUUACUUAUUUAUUUAUUUUAGGCAAGAAAUAGAUUUAUUAAGAUAGGACGCUGUGAGUGAUGCAAGCAGGCAGGCAAGGAGGCUCUGCCUCAAAUGUACUUUAAAUAUCCUGUAUCUGUACUCUCCUCUUUUCACAAUUACUGAUUUUGAUACCACAUUUUACAUCUAAUUGUGUUUUUUUUUAUCCCCUAACUGCUUAUUGUGGAUACAGAUUAUUUCACUGCUUUUGAAACAGAUUCACAGAUAUAAAAAACAAACUUUUGGUUACUAAAGAGGAAAAGGGAGGGAUAAACUAGGAGUUGGGAUGAACAUGAGCACAUUACUAUAUAUACAAUAGAUAACCAACAGGUAAGGGUCUACUGUACAGCACAGAGAACUAUACCAAAUAUCUUGUAAUAACCUAUAAGGGAAAAUAAUCUGAAAAAGAACAUGCAUAUGUGUAUAUAUAUACACAUAUAUAUACACACAGAGCUGAAUCACUUUGCUGUACAGCUGAAACCAACACAAUAUUAUAAAUCAAUUAUAUUUCAAAAACUCUAUUUCUUUACAAAAAAGAAAGGAAAAAGGGAAUUAAAUGAGAUUACAAGUGAAAUCCCAUGGUAGAUACUCAAAAAAGUUUGUUAAAGUGAUUCCUCUUAAAAUGUAUUUUCUGAUUAUUUUACUCUUCUGGACACUGUUUUUCAAUACGGAUCCAUUCUAUAUGCUCCUUCCCCUACAGGUUUCUUCUCCCCUACACCAAUUCGGGAAUUUAAAAUUCUGCUAUUUUAAAUAAUUCAACAUAGGACAGUAAUGUGAUGUUGUUCAGUUGACAAAAUAUUUUCACGUUUUGAUUUGAAUUAAUAUUUACAUACAUUCUGUGAAUCCAUAAGGAGAACAUAUUCACAUUUCAUAGGUGUGGGAUGGAAGAUCUUUGUAGACAAGGUCAAGUAGAUUUAAUAAGGGGCAAAGUUCCUAAAAGCUGUUUUUCCUAAGAAAUGCAAAAAUCAAUUAAUUUAUUUGUUAAUUAUAAAAUUAAGUAACUACUGUUGCUAGAUGUCAGGCUAGCACCUAAACAUUCAGAGAUGUGUAAGACUGACAUUGUGCCUAUUUUUUCUACAUGUAAAGAAAGAACAUUGAACAAGUAUACUUAUUCAAUGAAUAGGAAGUUAUGAAGGAUGUGAAGACAACAUAAAGUAGGUAAUCUUGGCCAGGUCUAGAUUUGGUAACUGUUAGCUUUUGGUGAGUUCUCAAUAAGGAGCAUUGGUCAUUUAAGUAACAUCAUAACUAUCACCAUAACACCAUAGAAUCAUUUAUUUUCUAUCCAGUCAUACAUAAUUGUGAGGCCUAUACUUUAUAAUAAUCCACCUCCUUUCAUAUUAAUUUCCAAAAAAUGUUAGAACUUCAGUGAACUGAUUUGGAAAACAAAAUUUUUGCUGGCAAUUAUUCAGAAUCAUGACCUACCUUGCUUUUCUCUGAUGAAACAAUGGGCUCACCCAACAGCAAAAGGGCCCUUAGUAAAGAAACCAUCCUGUUUUCAAGAGAGGCAGGCAUGUUGAUGAAUGACAACGUUUUCACUACUGGAACUUAAACUUUCCCCCAUGAGCUAUUGGGGACUCUAGAAAGAAAUCAUCGUUUUUAAUUCUGGUAGGUUCAGUCAAGAUAAUGAUGAUCCUUUGAAUCACUUUGCUGUGAUUCAUAUUUGAAAAAAUAUGUACAAAGGAAUCCAGGUAUCUUUCCCAAAUACUUUUCAAACGCACCUUGCAGAAUUAUAGUUUUAUGGGUAUAUUUUUUCUAUUCUAGGUACCCUUAAGUGUAAUACAUUUGUGAUGCACUGGAUUAUUCACAUGGAAGAACAAUCAUUUUUUAUUUUUCAUUUUUUUGUUUUUUUUUUCUAUGUAAGAUACUAUAAAACACAUCUCAGUUUAGAAUCCUGGGCAUCUCAUCAUUUCCUUUCUUCCCAGAGGACUGAGAUUAAUAAUGGCCAAAAGAGCCCAUGUAUGUAGAGUGUAAGUUUUACUUUUCUGCUCCUAUGACUUCAUACCCUAGGUAAUACACCUCUGAAUAAAUGGCUGUCUCAUCAUCUCUAUCCUGGACCAUCAUGCAAACUCACUGUCCUAGUUUUAAUACACAUUCACCUUCAGCCUCCUACUUCUAAUGGGCUUGCCAGGCUGCCUCCCCUUUUAGAGUUUGCCCAAAGAAAAGGGCAAACUCCAAAAAAAAAAAAAAGAGAAACAUCAUCUCCAUAAACCAUUUAGUCAACUGGCUUCAUUACUAAAUGCUACGUUGUUUACCAAUAGCCUGGGGGUUUCCUCCCCUUAGAGAAGAGAAAAAACACCCUGGGCAAACAAGUGUUUCCGACACAAUAACUCUUUAAUCUCUGCUUCUAACUGGAAUGUGAUGGUCACACCUCUUUUGAAUUAUUCCCCACAUUGAGUUAACAGCCUCUCCAUUGUACACACCUCCAUUACUAUACUUUUUACCUUGAAUUUCAAUUAUUUUUUAAUUUAUCUCUUUUGUGAAACUAUGAGUGUCUAGUUUACAAGGAUAGCGACAUUUUUCUAUGCAGUUCUAUACCUACCAUUUAAAGGCAUCACCCUCAGUAAGUGUUUGUUAAAUAUUUGUUAGAUGAAUAAGAAUUGCAUGUUUAAUACCAGAGGCUACAAUUAUUUUGCAGCACCUUUUAAUAACUGACCACAGAAAAGUAUUUACUAAGAAGUUUCUAUCUAGAAGCACACACUAUAAAAUGGUUAAAUAUGGCCUUAUCUUUUAAUAACAUUAUAUAUAUAUCACUUCUAUGAUAAAUAAAAGCCAUUUGAGUUAUGUAUCACCAACCACAAGCAAACUUAAUAAAAGCCUCCAUAUAAGAUUAAGAACGUGAGCUAUGGCAUAAAAUCGGCUUCUUCAGAAGAAAGUAUUAAAAGUUUGGAGAUUAAAAAUAUAAUUUACCUUGAUAGUGGCCCCAAGACAGUACAGUUUAUGACCUAAUGAAGUAAGUACAAACAAGCACCUCUCAAGGUCUCCUUCCUCUGGCUUCGGAGGAUUUCUCCAACCAGAUCACAGCUCACAAUCCCAUCAAUGUGCUGUGUCAUUGCUAUAGCCCCACCUGCGCUCUUUCUUUAACUUUAGGCUUAGGUGACUUAAAUUUCAUUCAAGUCACAUGUGAGUAUGACCAUAUCUUCUUUGAGGUCCUAUCGCAUUUGUGUUGUAUAUACCCUUUAGGGUGUGCAGCCCACACUGAACCCUGACUACCUCAUCCUUAGACAGGGAUCACUACAGGAUCCCAUCCUUCAAGGCACAGCUGAUUAAAUUAGAAAGGGAUGUCAGUGACCAAACUGUUCAGGCUCUACCCAUACCACUCACCCUUACCACUUCAGUUUGCCCAACACCCAAGUGUCAGACUUAGCACAUUUUGCCUCAAGUCUCUCUCCAAAGCCGAAGAAGACCGUUCUCUCCAAGGACAGAGCAAGCCAGAAGUACUGUAGGAUUAUCACCCCCUAAUAACACCUUCAACCAAUGAUGAUGGGAGUUGAUGUGUAGUCAGUCCUUUGCCAGCUUGGAUGGAAUAACUGAGUGUAUGUUCUGCUGGGCAUUUUUCCAUUUCCCAGUGGAUUGCCCUCCGGUCACCCUUAGUCAGAGCCAGCUUAGUAACAUCCUAUAUUGGAUGCCUUAUCUUCCCCGUUCCACUUGCCCAUGUUCCUUUCUUACAUGCCCCCCCCCCCAUGUAAUACGUUUGCACUGAAACUCUUAUUUCAAGGUCUGCUUCUUUGAGAAUCCAAACUAAGUCUACACCCAAACCAAGGGAGCCAGUCAGAUUUUCUCGCCUGGGAUUUUGUAACUAAAAGCAAUGAAAUUUCACCUGGGAUGGUAUGAAAAUGUAUUCUUACUUUUUUUUAAAUUUUAGUCCAUUUCAGAGGGUCAGUUCCAUCCUUCAAUUCUAUUAUUCAUUUCUGUAUUUAUAUAACAAAUGUCUUUGGGUUUUAGCUAAGCAUAAAGUUGAGUUUUGUUACUUUGAACCAAAAUAUCUUAUUUUACCAUUUUUAUUAACUGAAAUAUCAUAUUUGAAAACAAGAUAGGACCCUUCAUCAAGUCCAACCUUCAUAUUGUAGAUAGAAAUACAAAAUGAAAAUAAUUGCCAGAGAUGCAAAGCCUUCCCUUUUUCUUUCUUCUAUCACCUUUCCCCAAACCUGGUACUGAAUACCAAAUGAAACUUCAUAUUUGAGAGCCUAUGUCCAUUCUUAGCUUCGUAUUAUCAUUCAUCUAUUCAUUCAACAAAUAUUUAUGGAAUGUUCACAUGCCAGUCAGUGAGUUAGGCACUUGAAAUAUAACACAGAGACUGAGGUAUAACACAGAGACUAAGAUUGCUCUUUCCAGGACUUCUCCUGUGGCACAGUAGGUUAAGGAUCCAACAUUGUCACUGCAGUGGCCUGGGUUGCUGCUGUGCUGCAGAUUUCAUCUCUGGCCCAGGAAUUCCCAUGUGCUGUGGGCAUGGCAAAACAACAACAACAACAAAAAAAGAUUGCUCAUUCCAAUAGUGUCCUUACAGAGGGGAAUGCAACAGUGAGUGCGCAAGUGCAACAGCACUUCUACGAUGGGAGAAGUACUGGGUCCUAUGAGAAUAGGUAGCAAGAAAUCGAACCAAGACCCAGGAUAUAUGGAAUAUUUUUUAGAGAAAAUGUUGGAAUGAAUGGCCCAUAUUUGAGGAGCACAUAACAAAUUCUCUCUUUCCCAGGACCUUCACAGACAUUCCAUUCCCUUCUCC
rnacentral:lncRNA from 1 species